rnacentral:rRNA from 1 species
CAUGCAAGUCGAACGGCAGCGCGGGGCAACCUGGCGGCGAGUGGCGAACGGGUGAGUAAUAUAUCGGAACGUACCCAAGAGAGGGGGAUAACGUAGCGAAAGUUACGCUAAUACCGCAUACGAUCCAAGGAUGAAAGUGGGGGACCUUCGGGCCUCAUGCUCCUGGAGCGGCCGAUAUCUGAUUAGCUAGUUGGUAGGGUAAAGGCCUACCAAGGCGACGAUCAGUAGCUGGUCUGAGAGGACGACCAGCCACACUGGAACUGAGACACGGUCCAGACUCCUACGGGAGGCAGCAGUGGGGAAUUUUGGACAAUGGGCGCAAGCCUGAUCCAGCAAUGCCGCGUGAGUGAAGAAGGCCUUCGGGUUGUAAAGCUCUUUUGUCAGGGAAGAAACGGCUGAGGUUAAUACCUUUGGCUAAUGACGGUACCUGAAGAAUAAGCACCGGCUAACUACGUGCCAGCAGCCGCGGUAAUACGUAGGGUGCAAGCGUUAAUCGGAAUUACUGGGCGUAAAGCGUGCGCAGGCGGUUUUGUAAGUCUGUCGUGAAAGCCCCGGGCUCAACCUGGGAAUUGCGAUGGAGACUGCAAGGCUUGAAUCUGGCAGAGGGGGGUAGAAUUCCACGUGUAGCAGUGAAAUGCGUAGAGAUGUGGAGGAACACCGAUGGCGAAGGCAGCCCCCUGGGUCAAGAUUGACGCUCAUGCACGAAAGCGUGGGGAGCAAACAGGAUUAGAUACCCUGGUAGUCCACGCCCUAAACGAUGUCUACUAGUUGUCGGGUUUUAAUUAACUUGGUAACGCAGCUAACGCGUGAAGUAGACCGCCUGGGGAGUACGGUCGCAAGAUUAAAACUCAAAGGAAUUGACGGGGGACCCGCACAAGCGGUGGAUGAUGUGGAUUAAUUCGAUGCAACGCGAAAAACCUUACCUACCCUUUGACAUGUACGGAAACCACGAGAGAUCGAGGGUGUGCUCGAAAG